rnacentral:rRNA from 1 species
GAUGAACGCUAGCGGGAGGCUUAACACAUGCAAGUCGAGGGGCAUCACGAGGUAGCAAUACUUUGGUGGCGACCGGCGCACGGGUGAGUAACACGUAUGCAACCUUCCCUGUACAGGGGGAUAACCCGGAGAAAUUCGGACUAAUACCCCAUGAUGAUAUUUAUGGGCAUCCAUUGAUAUUUAAAGCUCUGGCGGUACAGGAUGGGCAUGCGCGACAUUAGCUAGUUGGUAAGGUAACGGCUUACCAAGGCCACGAUGUUUAGGGGACCUGAGAGGGUUCGUCCCCCACACUGGUACUGAGACACGGACCAGACUCCGUACGGGAGGCAGCAGUGAGGAAUAUUGGUCAAUGGGCGCAAGCCUGAACCAGCCAUCCCGCGUGAAGGAAGAAUGCGCUACGCGUUGUAAACUUCUUUUCCGAGGGGGAGAAUAAUCCUGUCGUGACAGGACUUGGACGGUACUCUGGGAAUAAGCAUCGGCUAACUCCGUGCCAGCAGCCGCGGUAACACG